rnacentral:rRNA from 1 species
UAAAGCUGAUCUGCUCUGGGUAAGUCGGGACCUAAGGCGAGGCCGAGAGGCGUAGUCGAUGGACAACAGGUAGAGAUUCCUGUACCCGUAUAUAUGUGAAGGAAUGACGGAGAGAGGAAGCUGCAGCCAGCGGCUGGAAGAGCUGGUGCAAGCGAGAUAUCGGGAUGGCAGGCAAAUCCACCAUCCGAAACGAGAAGGCGUGAAGCGUACGGAAAGCUACGGCGAGUACGGAAGGCAGUGGAGGAACUUCCAAGAAAAGUUUCUAACGUUAAGUAUAUAUGGCCCGUACCGAAAAUGGACACACAUGGGUGAGGAGAGAAUCCUAAGGUGAGCGAGAGAACUAUAGCUAAGGAACUCUGCAAAAUGACUCCGUAACUUAGGGAGAAGGAGUGCUCAUAGAGAUAUGAGCCGCAGUGAAACGGCCCAAGCGACUGUUUACCAAAAACACAGCUCUCUGCUAAGCCGCAAGGCGAAGUAUAGGGGGUGACGCCUGCCCGGUGCUGGAAGGUUAAGGGGAGGGGUUAACGCAAGUGAAGCCCUGAACUGAAGCCCCAGUAAACGGCGGCCGUAACUAUAACGGUCCUAAGGUAGCGAAAUUCCUUGUCAGGUAAGUUCUGACCCGCACGAAAGGCGUAACGAUUUGGGCGCUGUCUCAACAAGAAACUCGGUGAAAUCAUAGUACCUGUGAAGAUGCAGGUUACCCGCGAUCAGACGGAAAGACCCCAUGGAGCUUCACUGCAGCUUAAUAUUGAUAUUGGGUGUGUGAUGUACAGGAUAGGUGGGAGACGAAGAAGCGAGUACGCUAGUAUUCGUGGAGUCAACGUUGGGAUACCACCCUUCAUACAUUUAGUAUCUAACUAGUAUCCAUAAUCUGGGUAUAGAACAGUGUUAGGUGGGCAGUUUGACUGGGGCGGUCGCCUCCCAAAGAGUAACGGAGGCGCCCAAAGGUUCCCUCAGAAUGGUUGGAAAUCAUUCAAAGAGUGCAAAGGCAGAAGGGAGCUUGACUGCGAGACGGACAGGUCGAGCAGGAACGAAAGUUGGGCUUAGUGAACCGGCUGUGCUGAAUGGAAAGGCAGUCGAUCAACGGACAAAAGCUACCCUGGGGAUAACAGGCUGAUCUCCCCCAAGAGUUCACAUCGACGGG